rnacentral:rRNA from 1 species
UGGGAUUAGAUACCCCACUAUGCUCAGCCGUAAACUCAGACAUUCAACUACGAUUAAAUGUCCGCCAGGGUACAAGCACCAGCUUAAAACCCAAAAGACCUGACGGUGUCCAAGCCCCCCAAGAGGAGCCUGUUUCAG